rnacentral:rRNA from 1 species
AUCCUGGCUCAGGAUGAACGCUAGCGACAGGCUUAACACAUGCAAGUCGAGGGGCAGCGGGGAAGUAGCAAUACUUCCGCCGGCGACCGGCGCACGGGUGAGUAACACGUAUGGAACCUGCCCGUAGCAGGGGGAUAAGCGGAAGAAAUUCCGUCUAAUACCGCGUAAUAACUCCGAGAGGCAUCUCAUGGAGUUUAAAGGGUAACACCGGCUACGGAUGGCCAUGCGGCGCAUUAGCUAGUUGGCGGGGUAACGGCCCACCAAGGCGACGAUGCGUAGGGGUUCUGAGAGGAAGGUCCCCCACACUGGUACUGAGACACGGACCAGACUCCUACGGGAGGCAGCAGUGAGGAAUAUUGGUCAAUGGGCGCGAGCCUGAACCAGCCAAGUCGCGUGAGGGAAGACGGUCCUAUGGAUUGUAAACCUCUUUUGUCGGGGAGCAAAAGACGCCACGUGUGGCGUUCCGAGAGUACCCGAAGAAAAAGCAUUCGGCUAACUCCGUGNCCAGCAGCCGCGGUAAUACGGAGGAUGCGAGCGUUAUCCGGAUUUAUUGGGUUUAAAGGGUGCGCAGGCGGAAGAUCAAGUUCAGCGGUAAAAUUGAGAGGCUCAACCUCUUCGAGCCGUUGAAACUGGUUUUCUUGAGUGAGCGAGAAGUAUGCGGAAUGCGUGGUGUAGCGGUGAAAUGCAUAGAUAUCACGCAGAACUCCGAUUGCGAAGGCAGCAUACCGGCGCUCAACUGACGCUCAUGCACGAAAGUGUGGGUAUCGAACAGGAUUAGAUACCCUGGUAGUCCACACAGUAAACGAUGAAUACUAAUUGUUCGGGGAGAAUGAUCCCUGAGUGAUACAGCGAAAGCGUUAAGUAUUCCACCUGGGGAGUACGCCGGCAACGGUGAAACUCAAAGGAAUUGACGGGGGCCCGCACAAGCGGAGGAACAUGUGGUUUAAUUCGAUGAUACGCGAGGAACCUUACCCGGGCUCAAACGACACAGGAAUACUUUUGAAAGGAGGUAGCUCUACGGAGCCUGUGUCGAGGUGCUGCAUGGUUGUCGUCAGCUCGUGCCGUGAGGUGUCGGCUUAAGUGCCAUAACGAGCGCAACCCCCAUCGCCAGUUACCAGCAAGUCAAGUUGGGGACUCUGGCGAGACUGCCGGCGCAAGCUGUGAGGAAGGCGGGGAUGACGUCAAAUCAGCACGGCCCUUACGUCCGGGGCGACACACGUGUUACAAUGGCAGGUACAGAGAGAAGCAAUGCGGCGACGCAAAGCGGAACUUGAAAGCCUGUCUCAGUUCGGAUUGGAGUCUGCAACUCGACUCCAUGAAGCUGGAUUCGCUAGUAAUCGCGCAUCAGCCAUGGCGCGGUGAAUACGUUCCCGGGCCUUGUACACACCGCCCGUCAAGCCAUGGAAGCCGGGAGUGCCUGAAGUGUGCAACCGCAAGGAGCGNCCUAAGGUAAAACUGGUGACUGGGGCUAAGUCGUAACAAGGUAGCC